rnacentral:tRNA from 1 species
UCCCCUGUAGCUCAAUUGGCAGAGCAAUCGGCUGUUAACCGAUAGGUUGUUGGUUCGAGUCCAACCGGGGGAGCCA